rnacentral:rRNA from 1 species
UGACCUGCGGAGGUCAUUAUCAAAAUCCCGCUGUGUACCUCUCCUGUUGCUUCCGCGGCUCGGAGCAUGCUUUUUGGAUAAUUUUUGCGCUCCCAUGGUCAAGGAUAUCCACAUGCCUGGCRGGAGGAUAUGUGAACAAAACUUUCAGCAACGGAUCUCUUGGUUCUCGCAUCGAUGAAGAACGCAGCGAAAUGCGAUAAGUAGUGUGAAUUGCAGAAUUCAGUGAAUCAUCGAAUCUUUGAACGCACAUUGCGCCUUUCGGUAUUCCGGAGGGCAUGCCUGUUCGAAAGUAACAUAUUUAUUCAAGUGCUUGGUUGUGGUAGGCAACUUAUUAACCUCCCCACCAAAAUUGAGAGGCGGUCUGUCCCCACGGUGUUGUACUCAGACUUCUCGCUUGAACUGUGGGUGAACGGCUAAAAACCCCAAAGGUUGACCUCGGAUCAGGUAGGGAUACCCGCUGAACUUAAGCAUAUCAAUAA